rnacentral:rRNA from 1 species
AUGGCCAUAAGAUUGAUCAUUUGGCUUGAAAUAAUUGCCAUAUUACAAGGAGAAUAUGUGGACAGGGAGGUGGAGGAGGACCGGGACGAGCGGUACGGGUUCGAGAUGGAGGUGCGGAAGCUGCCGGGGAAGAAGAACCGCCGGCUGGUGCGCGCGCGGGUGUGGGUCAGCGCGCCGCUCCAGGCCGUCUGGGCCACGCUCACCGACUACGAGGGCCUCGUCGGGGAGCAGGAUCUGGCGCUGGGGUUCAAGUUCAACGCCAAGGGCACCAUCAAAUUCUACGAGGGGGAGAUGGAGCUACUGCCGGAUUCCCGGGCGCGCCGCCGGGAGAUCGACUUCAACAUGGUAGACGGUGAUUUCAAGGUCUUCCAGGGAAAAUGGUCUGUCCAGGAGUAUAUAAAUCUGAAUCUAGAUUCUGUAAGAGUCAAGGGGCAGCCAUUCUGA